rnacentral:rRNA from 1 species
UACGGAAGGCAGCAGUGGGGAAUAUUGCACAAUGGGCGAAAGCCUGAUGCAGCUAUGCCGCGUGUAUGAAGAAGGCCUUAGGGUUGUAAAGUACUUUCAUCGGGGAGGAAAAAACAAAACUAAUAAUUUUAUUUCUUGACGUUACCCGAAAAAGAAGCACCGGCUAACUCCGUGCCAGCAGCCGCGGUAAUACGGAGGGUGCUAGCGUUAAUCAGAAUUACUGGGCGUAAAGAGCACGUAGGUGGGUUUUUUAAGUCAGAUGUGAAAUCCCUGGGCUUAACCUAGGAACUGCAUUUUGAAACUGAAAUACUAGAGUAUCGUAGAGGGAGGGUAGAAUUCUAGGUGUAGCGGUGAAAUGCGUAGAUAUCUGGAGGAAUACCUGUGGCGAAAGCGGCCUCCUAAACGAAUACUGACACUGAGGUGCGAAAGCGUGGGGAGCAAACAGGGAGUUAGAUACC